rnacentral:rRNA from 1 species
GAUUUCUGACAAAGCGGGGCGGCCCGUGCUCUUAAUGGGUGCUGUGUGCCGUGUCGUGUUUGUCAUCCUUCCAGAGAGCUACGUCUACCAUUCAUUUGGCCGGACGUACGCGAUCUGGAUCGAUUACUUUGAAAAAAUUAGAGUGUUUAAAGCAGGCUUAUGCUGUGAAUACAUUAGCAUGGAAUAAUAAUUUAGGACUUCGGUCCUAUUUUGUUGGUUUCUAGGACAGAAGUAAUGAUUGAUAGGGACAGUUGGGGGUGCUAGUAUUCCGCGGCCAGAGGUGAAAUUCUUGGAUUCGCGGAAGACUAACUACUGCGAAAGCAUU